rnacentral:lncRNA from 1 species
UGAUUUUUCAGCAAGAAUUCCAUCAAGUAACUACCAUUUUAAACUAAUGAAAUCUUCUUUGAUUGAAACAUAGGCAGUUGUUCAGGAGGAAUUCUCCAUGAGGGAAAAGCAAGCAGUAAUCAGGUCUGACCGCAAGUGUGGUAUGGUUAAAAUACAAGAUAAUAAGGAAUAACAUAGAGAAUUGUAAGUUAGUCUCAAAGUUUGCCUGUUUUGGACAAAAUUCAAGUAGAAGUUGGGAGCCAGCCCAUAUAACAGGGGAAUACAUUUCACUUUUUAAAUUUUAAAUUUUGAAACAUUUCAGUCUUUACAUUUUCAAGUUUUGAAGUUGGGAGCCCCACAUAUAUCACAUGA